rnacentral:rRNA from 1 species
GACGAACGCUGGCGGCGUGCUUAACACAUGCAAGUCGAACGCUGAAGCUUGGUGCUUGCACUGGGUGGAUGAGUGGCGAACGGGUGAGUAAUACGUGAGUAACCUGCCCUUGACUCUGGGAUAAGCCUGGGAAACUGGGUCUAAUACUGGAUACGACAUGUCACCGCAUGGUGGUGUGUGGAAAGGGUUUUACUGGUUUUGGAUGGGCUCACGGCCUAUCAGCUUGUUGGUGGGGUAAUGGCUCACCAAGGCGACGACGGGUAGCCGGCCUGAGAGGGUGACCGGCCACACUGGGACUGAGACACGGCCCAGACUCCUACGGGAGGCAGCAGUGGGGAAUAUUGCACAAUGGGCGGAAGCCUGAUGCAGCGACGCCGCGUGAGGGAUGACGGCCUUCGGGUUGUAAACCUCUUUCAGCACGGGAGAAGCGAAAGUGACGGUACGUGCAGAAGAAGCGCCGGCUAACUACGUG